rfam:Novosphingobium sp. AAP1 AAP1Contigs2, whole genome shotgun sequence.
GGACGCAUAGCUCAGUUGGUAGAGCAGCUGACUCUUAAUCAGCGGGUCCUAGGUUCGAGCCCUAGUGCGUCCA